ensembl:lncRNA
AGAGCGCGCCAGAGGCAGAGAGGAGGCAACGAAGGAGCAGCUCUGCUCCCGACUCUCCAUCCCAGAGAAGUCCGAGAGGAAGAAGACCGAGAGAAGUCCACGGUCCCGCCCGGCCGCUGCAUCCCAUAAGCUGCCUGAAGUGACAACCAAGACGUCCGCCGCGAGGUCAAGAGGACAUGAUGAGCCAUGAAGAUGUUGGUUGAACCUCAGACAACAAGACUUAACACAUGGGAUCCUUCGGGAGUUGACGCACAGACCUGCGACAUGGGGAGCCUGAACCCUUCCGGUCAUCUUCCCCCAACACAAGAGGAUGUGUUUCAGAUAACCCAGUGGGCAGAACAGCACACACCAACGUGAACCCUCGCUCAUCUCAAAGUUGCUGUAUAAAACUGGAGCUGGACAGCUCUCCAAAAAAGAGAUCAGGAGGAGCGGAUACCACAAUUAAAACGAAACAACUUACAGAGGUAGGUCAUCUAUGUUGUUUGUUAAUACGCCGAAUGUGAAGGGACCAUCUCUCCUCCAAGAGUGACAACAUACAGAAAGUGUGAGCAGAAUGUAUCACCCAUCAAUCCCGCUGUCAAUAAAAAUGUCACCAAAUUCUAUACAUGUUCUAUUUAGAAAUAUGUUGUUGCUGUCCUGUGAAAACCCUGAAUCUCCAAGAUGACUUGUGCUAAGCUUUGUAAUGUUUAUAUUUCUUCAAGUAACACGGUUUCGCUUUGGGUUAGAAAUCUGUUGUGUCUUGGUCUGCCAUAGAAAUGCAAGUUCAAUAUUUGGUCAACUUUUAUCUCUGUUUUAGUCUCCACCCGGUCCAUAGACUAAUAUGUUGCUGCUAGAUGCUGCAACACGUCCAUCCGCUGGUUGCUGUGUAUGUCUGCAGUUCUGUAUGCAGUUAGUGUUAAAUCGGUUGGCAAUUUUCGUUAUUCUCUGGAUAGCACUACAUAUUUGUUUUGUUAUUUUUGUCAUUUCACAUGAACACCUGUUUUUUAGUCAUCCGUUUCACAUGAGCUCUUUGUAAGGACUCUGCUUAAUUAGACCAACACUGUUCUUGUAAAGCUUUCAACACCAACCUGAAAAUGGAACUCAGCUCAGGGCAAAUCUCUGUUCAAUCAUAAAUUAGGUCCAGAACAAGUCAAAAGGGCCUAUAAUGGUAUUCAUCAGCACUAACUUUCUGCCUGAAAUAAACUUGGCACCAACCAAUUAAAAAAGAUAUUGAAAUGAUCCUGCGCGUGCUUUGUCUGGUUGGUGCUGUGGGAAUUGGGUUUAAAUGUCAUCCUUCUGUUUCUAUUCGCUGUAAAACAGCCUCCUGCUUUUCUCCUCCUGAGCAGAGACUGAUUAAUUUCUAAAUGUGUAGUUGUUGUAAACCCAGAACUGAAUAAUUAAUCCCGGGAUAUUACGACAAAUUGACCAAUGCUUGCAAUCGUGUGACAUUAUAUAUUUGUCGAUAUGAGGGGCAUAAUUAUUCAAGGUGGAAUUGCAUUUGAUAUGGUCUACUAAGGCUUAAUGAUUUAUUCACAGCUGUAAAUUGUUAUGAUCUAAAAUUCAUCGGGGUGGAAUGGAAAGUUUCUUUUGCUUGCAUUUUUGGAUGAAUUUAUAUUUCAGGUUCUCACUUCAACAUAUUCUCUUAAAGAGAGGAAGUCAAAAAGAAUAGUCGAGCAGCAAAGACACGUGAGAGGAAGCUGAGAGGAUUCGAUUCAGGAACAGUAGGGGGUCCAUGGAAAUCUAAAAGUUCCCAUUCAAUCAUCAUCGUAUCUAUGAGACAGAGCCUGAAUUAUUUAAAACAGCUUAGCAUAUGAAGAGGAAGUUAUGUUUCAACACAUUGUGGCCAUCCGCUGUUUCACCCGAGAUUGUGUUCUCAUUUUGAUUGUGCUGUAACCCUCAUAUCCUCAACGUGUUUGGCGAAAACAGUUUGGGGAUUUAUAUAACUAGGUCCUCACGUUAUGGAACUUGAUUGAGCUGUACAAGGUCGCAUAAUCCUCAAGUUUAGGUAAAAACAUACAAAAUGUCAGAAAUGGAGAAAUGGGACUUUCAUCUGACAGCUGCAAUAAUGAAGCAUGUUUGUGUACAGUAUGUGUAUGAGUGCUUAGCUACUGUAUCCACCUCCCUCAGGCUGCACUUCAGUAAUAAAUAAUGCUCUUUAGUGUUCUCUGCUUCAUUUGUUUUCUGUUGUAACGUCAGUGCUGCUCAAUAAAUUAUAAAUCAAGCCUGUUCAACCUGCCGCACAUCUCUCGUUUCAUUAGCCCUUUUUGUGUGUGUUUUCUAUUGCCACUUCCAGGCACACCCGAAGUGUACACACCAAAACUCACAAGAGCUUUCACUGGAUUGGAUUCCGAACACAUGUAGCUAAGUAUAGUACAAAUGGCUAGAG